AAGGCUAUAAAAGUGUUAGGAGACACGGUGGCAUCACACAGACAGACUCCUGCGCUACCUUGGAUAAUACAUCGUCAUCUUCAAGUCAGAUUUAAAGUCCUUAUAAUUCUCGGAAUCAUGGCAUCCAAGCUCUUACUCGUCCUCGCCUUCGCUUCCAUCGCUCUCAUUCUGGUGGCAUCAGCUGCUGAUGAGUUCGACGUCGAGGUGGUGAAUGAUGACGGGUAUAAGCGAGAUCCCGACCUCAUCAUCGGAAUGGAGGAUAUGUCAAAGAGAGGAAAGAGUAAGGGAGGACGCCCAUUCGUUUUUCCUUACGGAUGGAGAUACAGUGGAAAGAAGUAAUAUCAUAAAACACGCAACUGCAUAUGAUCGUAUCAGCACAUUAUGAGUGGACUGGUGAUUUAUUAAUUUCCCGAUGCCGUUGAGCAAACACUUUGCUUUGGACGCCAUUCACCAACCUUCAUUUUAUUUUCAUCUUGUCAUGUUCACAUUUAUUCCAAUGAAAGGCAACAUACACAUUUCAGUGUACUGUAUC